UUUGGGCGUGUCUCCCUUCUCGGGAGACUCUCUCAACCCCAAGAACCCUUGACCUCAAAUCGGGUGAGACUACCCGCUGAACUUAAGCAUAUCAAUAAGCGGAGGAAAAGAAACUAACAAGGAUUCCCCUAGUAACUGCGAGUGAAGCGGGAAAAGCUCAAAUUUAAAAUCUGGCGGUCGAAGGCCGUCCGAGUUGUAAUUUAGAGAAGC
rnacentral:rRNA from 1 species